rfam:Gossypium arboreum cultivar AKA8401 contig_13019_1, whole genome shotgun sequence.
AAUCUGUGGUGCCAACAUUUUUGAAUGAACAUCUUGAAAUGUUCCCACGCCUCAUAAAAACUUUCUCCCUUCAUCUGUCUGAAUACAACAAUCUCUUUUCUUAGUUG